UACGUAGGGUGCAAGCGUUGAUCGGAAUUACUGGGCGUAAAGCGUGCGCAGGCGGUUUUGUAAGUCUGUCGUGAAAUCCCCGGGCUCAACCUGGGAAUUGCGAUGGAGACUGCAAGGCUAGAAUCUGGCAGAGGGGGGUAGAAUUCCACGUGUAGCAGUGAAAUGCGUAGAGAUGUGGAGGAACACCGAUGGCGAAGGCAGCCCCCCUGGGUCAAGAUUGACGCUCAUGCACGAAAGCGUGGGGAGCAAACGAGGAU
rnacentral:rRNA from 1 species